CUUAAAUUGGGUUGCUCCUUUGUUUCCUUCUGAUGUAGAGACAAUCCUGAGUGUUAGUUAUUUCCCCCUAUUUAUUGUCUGAGUCUGCUGUUUUACCUUUGUGGCCUCCGUUGCUUCUGAUUUCCAUGGUUUCUACUGUGAUAUGGCUGAAUGCGUCAGUCCUGCGUGGAGUAUGGUUGAGAGUUGUGAUUCCUGAGGUGUCUAACACGCGGUUCCUUCUCCCACAGCGCCCCACCAGGCCACUGCCCGUCCAAACAAAUACUAAGCGAUCUGUCCUGGGCCCGGUCCCCACAGGUCAGCCACCGGUUGUGAUACCUGACAGGCGGUCCACACUGCCUGUCAGUAAAGCCCCGGAAAUGCGUGCUUGUGAACCAGCCCAAAGAUGUGGGGUGGUGGACUUGCCCUGCCAAGCUCUAAAAAGCUCCUGCCAGGACCCACCUCUCGUUGCCAAGUUGACAGCCAGCAGGCCUGAUGUUUUCUCCCCUGGUGUUCCCCAGUUUGCCAGGAAGACACUGGCCCAGACACAAGCCAGGCAUCCUCCCGUGGCCUCAAGGCCCCACGCGCAGCCUGUCGUGGGAAAAUGUGGCCAGAACGCCAAACUCAGCAUCCAGGCACCAGAGAAGUCUACACCUGCUGGUCCGAGCCCUCACAUCUUAGAGGUGUCAGAAAGACAGGUUCCCAGGGUCCCAGUGAGGAGGAUCCUCUGCCACUGAGGAGAAUGCCUGAGGGUGGCCGCGUGGAGAGAAGACUGGGCAUCCGGUGUCCCUUCACUGGAAGUGGCUGAAAGAUGGGAAAAGAGGCAGGAGCACCUCUUUUCUGUGUCCCGUGAGUCAGGCACCUGUGGAGGUGUCUGUGUGCGUGCUGGGGUUCCAGGUGACACUGGGGGUCACCAGACAGACACCGCCUUUAAACUUUGUGCAUUUAAGUUGUAUUUAAAAUGGAGCUUAUGAAGUUGUCACUUGUCCUUUGUAAAUCAAGUAUCGUUUAAGAAACUGAGCCAACAUGGGGAAGCCAUGUUAUACCCUAAUGUCAAUAGAAAGCUAUGAAAUUCGUCGGUGCGGGUGGGUAAAUGACGAAAACUUGGGUAACUGGGAGAUGAUUGUGGAGAAGAGCUGUACCCCUGGAACAGUGCCCUCUCCUGGGUGUAGAAUUUUCCACUUUCAGGGAGUGUUUCAGUGGGAAUUCUCUUUGCCUUGGGGAAUGGGGGAUAUUCUUUUAACCUUUACAUUUUGUUAUUUAAAAAAAC
rnacentral:lncRNA from 1 species